GGGAAGGUGGCUCAGUGGUAGAGCGCUUGCCUAGCAUGUAUGAGGCCCUGGGUUCUAUUUCUCAGCCCCA
rfam:Dipodomys ordii contig_67197, whole genome shotgun sequence.